rnacentral:rRNA from 1 species
CCUACGGGAGGCAGCAGUAGGGAAUAUUGCUCAAUGGGGGAAACCCUGAAGCAGCAACGCCGCGUGGAGGAUGAAGGUUUUCGGAUUGUAAACUCCUUUUGUUAGAGAAGAUAAUGACGGUAUCUAACGAAUAAGCACCGGCUAACUCCGUGCCAGCAGCCGCGGUAAUACGGAGGGUGCAAGCGUUACUCGGAAUCACUGGGCGUAAAGAGCGCGUAGGCGGGAUAGCAAGUCAGAUGUGAAAUCCUAGGGCUUAACCAUAGAACUGCAGUUGAAACUGUUAUUCUAGAGUAUGGGAGAGGGAGGUGGAAUGCUUGGUGUAGGGGUAAAAUCCGUAGAGAUCAAGAGGAAUACUCAUGGCGAAGGCGACCUGCUAGAACAUAACUGACGCUGAUGCGCGAAAGCGUGGGGAGCAAACAGGAUUAGAUACCCCUGUAGUC